GAUGAACGCUAGCUACAGGCUUAACACAUGCAAGUCGAGGGGAAACGAUAGAGAAAGCUUGCUUUUUCUAGGCGUCGACCGGCGCACGGGUGAGUAACGCGUAUCCAACCUGCCCAUCACUUGGGGAUAACCUUGCGAAAGUAAGACUAAUACCCAAUGAUAUCUCUAGAAGACAUCUGAAGGAGAUUAAAGAUUUAUCGGUGAAGGAUGGGGAUGCGUCUGAUUAGCUUGUUGGCGGGGUAACGGCCCACCAAGGCGACGAUCAGUAGGGGUUCUGAGAGGAAGGUCCCCCACAUUGGAACUGAGACACGGUCCAAACGCCUACGGGAGGCAGCAGUGAGGAAUAUUGGUCAAUGGACGAGAGUCUGAACCAGCCAAGUAGCGUGCAGGAUGACGGCCCUAUGGGUUGUAAACUGCUUUUAUAAGGGAAUAAAGUGAGUCUCGUGAGACUUUUUGCAUGUACCUUAUGAAUAAGGACCGGCUAAUUCCGUGCCAGCCGCCGCCGUAA
rnacentral:rRNA from 1 species